AACGAACGCUGGCGGCAUGCCUAACACAUGCAAGUCGAACGAGACCUUCCUGCUUAUUUGCGCACGUCUGCGUAACGCCUGGUAACCUGCCCUUAGGUUCGGAAUAACUCCCCGUAAGGUGUGCUAAUACCGGAUAAUGUCAUCGGGCCAAAGAGUUAUCGCCGUGGGCUGGGGGUGGGUAGGAUUCGCCAGUUGGUAGUGUAAAAGCAUACCAAGGCGACGAUCCAUGGCUGGGCGGGUAGGAUGACCAGUCACAAUGGGACUGCGACACGGCCCAGACUCGGACGGAAGGGAGGAGUGGGGUAUAUUGGGCGCUGGACGCAAGUGUGAUACAGCCGUGCGGGGUGUGUGAUGAAGGGCUUAGGAUUGUGAAGCUGUCUUACACGGGAUGAUAAUGACAGUAACGGGUGAAUAAGCACCGGCUAACUCCGUG
rnacentral:rRNA from 1 species